rnacentral:lncRNA from 1 species
GCUUGAAUAUGUUUUCAUGUUUGUGGAAGAGUUCAGUCAUCCCUUGAAAACUUCUCUGGCAUGGCUUCCCCAGUCUUGACUCACCUGUUUUUUUAAAGUGUUUUGACUUGCUGUAGCAACUCUACCCAUCACGUGUGCCCUGCAGCCUAAGGACCUAGAUCCUUUGUCCUAAAUCUUCCCAUCAAUAACUUGAGGGCAAUCAUACUGAACUCUCUUAAUUACCUCAUCAAAAACUCGGAAGAACAAGUGACAAGACACUCCUCAAUUCCUUAGGAGAAACAUGCCUUCACUGGCAUUAGAAUUAUCAUCAUAAAGAAAACCAUUAGAUCCUAGGGAGGUGCAAAAGCUAAAAUAGGGCCCAAAUUUUCCCAAGGGUGAGGAAAGGAUUGUGGGUGAGGAGGGAGGGAGGAAGAAAAGAGAAAGAAUCUUCCUUUUAAACAUGCGUUCUCUCUCCCCUCACAGAGUUACCUGGUCCAAACAGGAGCUGAACAGAAUUAGUAUUAUCAGAUAAUAUCUGUAGUCAAUAUUAGUUCAUACUUUUGCAAAAAGCUUUUCUUAGAGACAGUCCAGUGAAAGAAACACUACCAGGUGCUACUCCAGGAACACCUGGUGCUUGGCUCAGCACCCUGAUCCGUAGGAACGUCAGGGAACAACCGAGCCCUGUGUACGAACCAGGCAGCUGGUUGCAUGUGAAGGUUUUGCCACCAGGUCACAUUUAGGUCAAGAAGCAGAACUUCCGCCUCUACUCCCUCUACCCCACCACAUGCAGUCCUUGAAACCUCCUUUUUUUUUUUUUUGUACUUUGUUAAAACGAUGAAAUUUUAUGAGAAAUUAUCUCACCUAUCAGCUGAGAUUUUAAUAUUUUCCCAGNNNNNNNNNNNNNNNNNNNNNNNNNNNNNNNNNNNNNNNNNNNNNNNNNNNNNNNNNNNNNNNNNNNNNNNNNNNNNNNNNNNNNNNNNNNNNNNNNNNUAUGAGAAAUUAUCUCACCUAUCAGCUGAGAUUUUAAUAUUUUCCCAGUGGCUACCCUUCCAUGGGGUGGACUGGUGCUGCAACCCUCUGCCCCCACUGAGGGCAAAGGUCACUAUCCUCAACUCUCGCCAGCCUCUGGGGGCCUUUCUUCCACCUCAAGGUGGUUCAGGAAGCAGCUGCCUGUCACCCCACCACCAUUCCAGCUUUUCAUAUUAGCAGACAGGAAGCUGACAUUUAUACUGUUUCUGCCACUUAUUCACAGGAUAAAGCCUACCCACUCACAUCCAUUUAUUUACCCCUGAUCCAUUUUCUCCAAAUUUGCUUGCUUCUUCGCUGACAGAAUGACUAGAAGGCUGGCCCAACGGAACUAUUUCACAAAACCUGACUGGAAGCUUAUCUGAGGAGCACGGAGACCCUUUCCACUGAGACCCUUCCCCUAUACUGAGGCUGAACUUUUAGGGAUUUUGGUUUAUAGCUCUUGGGCAGCUCAAGGUAAUGGAAGAAGUCUCUAAAACCUGCAGUAGAAAAUGACUUGCAGAACCUCCCCACUCAUGACAGUUUCAUGAGGCUCGUGUUUUCGCUUUUGAUUCCUGUGUUUUGAAGGGCUGGCUGCCUUCUGCCCACCUCGCACUAGAAGCUGCAGUGCCUUUUUCUUCUUGCUUUCUUUUUCCUCCUCUGGCCUCAUCAUGUCUUGGUCUCCUCCUCUGGUCUACGCCCUUGUUUAUAAGUCUAGGUUCACUGAUUCAGCUCUGUCUGUGGUCUGAGAGAGGAUGGGUGUCAUUUUCAACCUCUUGUCACACCCAGUAUAGCACUAGGGAAAAAAAAAAAGGUCUCAUUUUGAAGAGGUAGGUAAGAGGGAUUGACACAAUCGUGAAGAGACAAAACAAACCAUAGAUUGUUUUUUUAACACCUCUCAGCUGAAGAGAAAUCCAAGAGCAGGAACCAGAGGGAGUAGGAUGGAGAGGAGAGAAAAGGGGAGCCCAAAAUAAAGUGCCUCAAAAUAAAGGCCCCUCGGUCAUAACAAAAUUUCUCCAUGGGCAAC